rnacentral:rRNA from 1 species
CAGCCGCCGCGGGAAUACGUAGGUGGCAAGCGUUGUCCGGAAUUAUUGGUCGUAAAGGGCUCGCAGGCGGUUUCUUAAGUCUGAUGUGAAAGCCCCCGGCUCAACCGGGGAGGGUCAUUGGAAACUGGGAAACUUGAGUGCAGAAGAGGAGAGUGGAAUUCCACGUGUAGCGGUGAAAUGCGUAGAGAUGUGGAGGAACACCAGUGGCGAAGGCGACUCUCUGGUCUGUAACUGACGCUGAGGAGCGAAAGCGUGGGGAGCGAACAGGAUUAGAUACCCGAGUAGUCCCUGUCUCUUAUAA